rnacentral:rRNA from 1 species
UCGAGAUAGAACCCUUGCCUUUUUGAGUACCUUUCGUUUCCUCGGCAGCCUCGGCUGCCAAUGGGGACCCCAAAAAACACUUUGCAGUACCUGCAACAGUCUGAACAAACAAACAAAAAUUAAAACUUUCAACAACGGAUCUCUUGGUUCUGGCAUCGAUGAAGAACGCAGCGAAAUGCGAUAAGUAGUGUGAAUUGCAGAAUUCAGUGAAUCAUCGAAUCUUUGAACGCACAUUGCGCCCUUUGGUAUUCCUUAGGGCAUGCCUGUUCGAGCGUCAUUUAAACCUUCAAGCUCAGCUUGGUGUUGGGUGACUGUCCGCCGCCCCCGGGCGCGUGGACUCGCCUCAAAAUUAUUGGCGGCCGGUACAUUGGCUUCGAGCGCAGCAGAAACGCGAACUCGGGCCCGUCGUAUUGGCUCCCAGAAGCUAUCUUCACAAUUUUGACCUCGGAUCAGGUAGAGAUACCCGCUGAACUUAAGCAUAUCAAUAAGCGGAGGAAAAGAAACCAACAGGGAUUGCCCUAGUAACGGCGAGUGAAGCGGCAACAGCUCAAAUUUGAAAUCUGGCUCUUUCAGGGUCCGAGUUGUAAUUUGUAGAGGGUGCUUUGGCGUUGACUGUGGUCUAAGUUCCUUGGAACAGGACGUCGCAGAGGGUGAGAAUCCCGUAUGUGGCCGCCAGUCUUCGCCGUGUAAAGCCCCUUCGACGAGUCGAGUUGUUUGGGAAUGCAGCUCUAAAUGGGAGGUAAAUUUCUUCUAAAGCUAAAUAUUGGCCAGAGACCGAUAGCGCACAAGUAGAGUGAUCAAAAGAUGAAAAGCACUUUGGAAAGAGAGUCAAAAAGCACGUG